GCUGUGCUCACUUUGGCAGUAUAUACUAACAUCAGAACCAUACAGAAAAGAUUUCUGUGGCCCCCACACAAGGAUGAUACACAAAUUCAUGAAGCAUUCCAUAUGUAA
rnacentral:snRNA from 1 species